rnacentral:rRNA from 1 species
CGCUGAAAGCAUCUAAGUGCGAAGCCAGCCGCAAGAUGAGGACUCCAUUGAGGGUCGUCAUAGACGAUGACGUUGAUAGGGUGCAGGUGUAAAGACGGUGACGUCAAAGCCGAGCACUACUAAUUGCCCGAAAUCUUUCGCU